UACGUAGGGGGCAAGCGUUGUCCGGAAUUAUUGGGCGUAAAGAGCGUGUAGGCGGUCCGGUAAGUCAGCUGUGAAAGUCAAGGGCUCAACCCUUGAAAGCCGGUUGAUACUGUCGGGCUAGAGUCCGGAAGAGGCGAGUGGAAUUCCCGGUGUAGCGGUGAAAUGCGCAGAUAUCGGGAGGAACACCAAUGGCGAAGGCAGCUCGCUGGGACGGUACUGACGCUGAGACGCGAAAGCUAGGGGAGCGAACGGG
rnacentral:rRNA from 1 species